AUUGCUUCUUGGCCUUUUGGCUAAGAUCAAGUGUAGUAUCUAUUCUUAUCAGUUCAAUAUCUAUCCCUUAAGGUAAAACGGUCUGUCUUACUUCUGGAUUCCAUUCAACAACACUUU
ensembl:snRNA U2 U2 spliceosomal RNA